rnacentral:rRNA from 1 species
AUUGAACGCUGGCGGCAUGCUUUACACAUGCAAGUCGAACGGCAGCGCGGGCUUCGGCCUGGCGGCGAGUGGCGAACGGGUGAGUAAUACAUCGGAACGUGCCCAGUAGUGGGGGAUAGCUCGGCGAAAGCCGGAUUAAUACCGCAUACGACCUGAGGGUGAAAGCGGGGGAUCUUCGGACCUCGCGCUAUUGGAGCGGCCGAUGGCAGAUUAGCUAGUUGGUGGGGUAAAGGCCUACCAAGGCGACGAUCUGUAGCUGGUCUGAGAGGACGAUCAGCCACACUGGGACUGAGACACGGCCCAGUCUCCUACGGGAGGCAGCAGUGGGGAAUUUUGGACAAUGGGCGAAAGCCUGAUCCAGCAAUGCCGCGUGUGAUGAAGGCCUUCGGGUUGUAAAGCACUUUUGGCGGGAACGAAAAGGACUGUGCCAAUACCACGGUUCGAUGACGGUACCCGCAGAAUAAGCACCGGCUAACUACGUG